GCUGGAUGCAGUGGCAUGUGCCUGUAGUCCCAGCUACUUGGGAGGCUGAGAGAGGAGGAAUGCUUGAAUCCAGGAGUUUUGGGCUGUAGUGCGCUAUGCUGAUCAGGUGUCUGCACUAAGUUCAGUAUCAAUAUGGUUACCUCCCAGGAGCAGGGGGCCACCAGGUUGCCUAAGGAGGAGUGAACCAGCCCAGGUCAGAAAUGGAGCAGGUCAAAACUCCCGUGCUGAUCAGUAGUGGGACUGCACCUGUGACUAGCCACUGUACUCCAGCCUGGGCAACAUAGUGAGACCCAUCUCAU
rfam:Otolemur garnettii contig009541, whole genome shotgun sequence.